AUGCUGGGGAAUCUGCUGGCAGAGUCCCCAGACACAGACAGGCUCCACUUCAUCUUGGAGCAUGUCAACUUCUGGGUCGUGUCCAGGGUGUCCCAGGAGCGAGCCAGGGCCAUCAGGAGCAGCACAGCCCUGCUGAGAUACACAGUCACCCUCCCUGAGUUUGACAUCUCUGCCGAGUUCCCCAGGAUGGGGCACCAUGUGGCCCAGCUGGCUCUAUUUGUCAGCGAUCCGGACAAGGACAUCAGCCGGCAGGCCAGGGAGGGGACUUACCGGCUCUACCAGCUGCUGCUCCGACAGAGGGGUAAGGAACCCAGCUGGGACACGGAACCCAAUAGGGGACUGAGAGUGACCACAGGUGGAGAAUGGGACCCCAGACCAUUUCUCUCCGACUGACCCCAGCUGGAGGACAAGUCUCUCUCUGCCUCUGGUCUCCACUCCACUGUGGAGCCACCAAUGGGAUUGGAAGGACACAGAAACUGCAACCAGAAGGAGAAAAGUCUCUCUCUCUCUCUCUCUCUCUCUCUUCCAGGCCUGACCAUACA